UCGCCGAACCCGACGGCAAAGCUAAAAGAGCUCGACUUUCCGCAAAUAGAAAAAUUAAGUAUUCUCUGUUAAAAAAUUAACGAUAUAUUUGAUGCAGUAACCAGUAUUAUACGUAUAACCUAAAACGCGAAAGAAAUGUCCGAAUAACCUCUACAUAUGGGACGUUAUUUCCGAUGCAUUCGUCAUUCUCCUGUUUCACAAGAAGGACUCUACCAGAAGAUAUGCCAGUUUGGAGAGUGAGCACAGGAAUUUACCCAUAAGAAUACACGGACCAAAGCUACCAGGGCAGAAAUGGCUGCUGAAUCAUCCUCUUCAGCUGAAGGCAUGUAUGCUCCAUUCCUCCCCAUAUAGACUGGGAGUAACAUUGUGAUGAGCAGAUUUUUGAUGGGGGAAUAGUGAUUUUUGUUUUUUUACAACCUGCAUAGAUACAGUUUAAUAGCAAAAUGCUACAUUUCACUUUACUUUGGUACCAACUGAGGCUCAUUUUUAGUUGCUAAUGCCAAUGUCAAGAGAAAGUAUUCAAGCCUCCUGCCAGAACAAAUCAACAACAUUAAGGACUCACUGCCAGUGAAGGUGUUCCCUGUGGUCACAUCCCUGUGAAACUACUGCUUUAACACCAUUCUUAUGAUGUGUUGCUCAGCAUAGUUCUGCAACACUGCCAAAUUACAUCUUAUUUAUAUCUUGCAAGUAUACCAGUGCAGUAAAAAGUCAAGAUGCAAUAAUUCUGAGGUUGUGGAAGAGGAAGGGGUAAAAUUGCUACUUAUUUUUAUUCUGCAUUCGUAUAGAGUAUAAUAUAAGUUUUCAUGCCCCUGGGCUGUGAGGUUAAACCAGAUUAAGCAUCCAGUUGUUCUAGAAAGUAAAA